GAUGAACGCUGGCGGCGUGCCUAAUACAUGCAAGUCGAGCGAACAGACGAGGAGCUUGCUCCUCUGACGUUAGCGGCGGACGGGUGAGUAACACGUGGAUAACCUACAUAUAAGACUGGGAUAACUUCGGGAAACCGGAGCUAAUACCGGAUAAUAUAUUGAACCGCAUGGUUCAAUAGUGAAAGACGGUUUUGCUGUCACUUAUAGAUGGAUCCGCGCCGCAUUAGCUAGUUGGUAAGGUAACGGCUUACCACGGCAACGAUGCGUAGCCGACCUGAGAGGGGGAUCGGCGACACUGGGACUGAGACACGGGCCAGACUCCGACUGAGGGAAGCAGUAGGCAACCUUCCGCAAUGGGAGAAAGCAUGACGGAGCAACGCCGCGUGAGUUAUGAAGGUCUUCGGAUCGUAAAACUCUGUUAUUAGGGAAGAACAAAUGUGUAAGUAGCUAUGCACGUCUUGACGGUACCUAAUCAGAAAGCCACGGCUAACUACGUG
rnacentral:rRNA from 1 species